rnacentral:lncRNA from 1 species
CGACACUGGUACGGUUCUCAUAGGAUUACAAGCGGGCCCGAGACAAGAUGCUGGGACGUGGCUGAAGUUUUAAAAUCCCAAUCAAAAUAGAAGAUGGUGGGAUUUGAAAGUCCGUAGUCGCCUAUAACUCGAAGAUGCUGCGCUCUAUAAAUACGGGAGUCUGAAACAGAAGAGGGGAAUAGAGUGAGUGGCAGCACAAG